CAGCCGCCGCGGUAAUACGUAGGUGGCAAGCGUUGUCCGGAAUUAUUGGGCGUAAAGGGCUCGCAGGCGGUUUCUUAAGUCUGAUGUGAAAGCCCCCGGCUCAACCGGGGAAGGUCAUUGGAAACUGGGAAACUUGAGUGCAGAAGAGGAGAGUGGAAUUCCACGUGUAGCGGUGAAAUGCGUAGAGAUGUGGAGGAACACCAGUGGCGAAGGCGACUCUCUGGUCUGUAACUGACGCUGAGGAGCGAAAGCGUGGGGAGCGAACAGGAUUAGAUACCCGCGUAGUCCCUGUCUCUUAUAC
rnacentral:rRNA from 1 species